UGGGGAAUAUUGCGCAAUGGGGGAAACCCUGACGCAGCAACGCCGCGUGAGUGAUGAAGGCUUUCGAGUCGUAAAACUCUGUCUUUGGGGAAGAUAAUGACGGUACCCAAGGAGGAAGCCCCGGCUAACUACGUGCCAGCAGCCGCGGUAAUACGUAGGGGGCAAGCGUUGUCCGGAAUCACUGGGCGUAAAGGGCGCGUAGGCGGUUUGUUAAGUCAGUUGUGAAAGUUUUCAGCUUAACUGGAAAAGUGCACUUGAAACUAACUGACUUGAGUACUGGAGAGGUAAGCGGAAUUCCUAGUGUAGCGGUGAAAUGCGUAGAUAUUAGGAAGAACACCGGUGGCGAAGGCGGCUUACUGGACAGAGACUGACGCUGAGGCGCGAAAGCGUGGGGAGCGAACA
rnacentral:rRNA from 1 species